CUUCCAUCUGGAAGAAGUCUGGAGACAGGUGCUGCAUGGCUGUCGUCAGCUCGUGUCGUGAGAUGUUGGGUUAAGUCCCGCAACGAGCGCAACCCUUGCCUUUAGUUGCCAGCAGUUCGGCUGGGCACUCUAAAGGGACUGCCGGUGUUAAACCGGAGGAAGGUGGGGAUGACGUCAAGUCCUCAUGGCCUUUAUGACCAGGGCUACACACGUACUACAAUGGCCGAUACAAAGGGCAGCGACACUGCGAGGUGAAGCCAAUCCCGUAAAAUCGGUCUCAGUCCGGAUUGGAGCCUGCAACUCGACUCCAUGGAGUUGGAAUCGCUAGUAAUCGUGAAUCAGAAUGUCACGGUGAAUACGUUCCCGGGCCCGUU
rnacentral:rRNA from 1 species